rnacentral:lncRNA from 1 species
GCAUCUGCGGAGCCGGGGGGUCUGGGCCCGAGAUAAGGCGGAGGUGGAGGCAGCCCCUCAUUGGCGGGAGCCCGGCCCGCGGGCCCUUAUAUUGGGGCUGCCUGGGCUGGGGCUGCCCCGGAGACGGACUCGCAGUCAUUAAUCAGUGAGGAUGAGGACAAAGAAGACACCUCCCAGAGCCCCAACCUCAGGAAGGAAGGACAAAAACCAUCUGGGAUUCCACAGCAGCCUCCAGGACACAGAUGCCCCCACCGCCCCUUCCUUAGGCUGGCCUGCUCCUCGGACCCCCUGGGAAAGAGUGCCCGCCCAAGCGCAGCUUACAAUGACGAGAGUACCCGCUGAAGAGCAGCUGACAGUAACAGUGCCCACUUGAGAGACUUGAGGACUAGGAGCCGUGAGACCAUCGGCCGUGGUCCCAGAGGAGGCAUGAAGAAGCUCUGGAAAGGACGCCAGCCGCAGGGCACAAACUGAGCCGGAGGCUUCUCUGGCCAGCCUGGCGCUGCCCUGGCCUGAUUACCCAUGAUCAUGAGUGCUCCAUACAAGGAGCAUGGGGACGGGAUAAGUAUUACCAGUGAUCGCCCUUAGGCUGUCUUUGCCCCAGCCACUGCAGGAAGCCCCUCCCCCAGUCUCCCCACACUGACCCAGAGGGCACCAGCUUCCAUCCCCAAGGGGACUUUCGGGCCAUCCAGCUCCACCUCCUGGUAAAACCUGAAACUGCGCCCCAGCUCU